rnacentral:misc_RNA from 1 species
GAUGAAGAACGCAGCGAAAUGCGAUAAGUAAUGUGAAUUGCAGAAUUCAGUGAAUCAUCGAAUCUUUGAACGCACAUUGCGCCCGCCAGUAUUCUGGCGGGCAUGCCUGUUCGAGCGUCAUUACAACCCUCAGGCCCCCGGGCCUGGCGUUGGGGAUCGGCGGAGCCCCCCGUGGGCACACGCCGUCCCCCAAAUACAGUGGCGGUCCCGCCGCAGCUUCCAUCGCGUAGUAGCUAACACCUCGCGACUGGAGAGCGGCGCGGCCACGCCGUAAAACACCCAACUCUUCUGAAGUUGACCUCGGAUCAGGUAGGGAUACCCGCUGAACUUAAGCAUAUCAAUAAGCGGAGGA